UCAGGACGAACGCUGGCGGCGUGCCUAAUACAUGCAAGUCGAAUGGCUUUCUAUGGAAGCUUGCUUCCACUGAGAAGAUAGUGGCGAACGGGUGAGUAACACGUGGGUAACCUGCCCAUAAGAGGGGGAUAACGAUCCGGAAACGGGUGCUAAUACCGCAUAGUUUUCUUGAUCGCAUGAUUGAGAAAGGAAAGACGGCCUUUGUGCUGUCGCUUAUGGAUGGACCCGCGGCGUAUUAGUUAGUUGGUGAGGUAACGGCUCACCAAGACGAUGAUACGUAGCCGACCUGAGAGGGUGAUCGGCCACAUUGGGACUGGGACACGGCCCAAACUCCUACGGGAGGCAGCAGUAGGGAAUCUUCCGCAAUGGACGAAAGUCUGACGGAGCAACGCCGCGUGAGUGAAAGAAGGUUUUCGGAUCGUAAAACUCUGUUGUCAGAGAAGAACAAGUUGGGGAGUAACUGCUCCAGCCUUGACGGUAUCUGACCAGAAAGCCACGGCUAACUACGUGCCAGCCGCAGC
rnacentral:rRNA from 1 species